rnacentral:misc_RNA from 1 species
UACGGAGGAUGCGAGCGUUAUCCGGAUUUAUUGGGUUUAAAGGGUGCGUAGGCGGACCAGUAAGUCAGUGGUGAAAUCCUGCAGCUUAACUGUAGAAUUGCCAUUGAAACUGUUGGUCUUGAGUUCAGUUGCGGUAGGCGGAAUGUGUAAUGUAGCGGUGAAAUGCUUAGAUAUUACACAGAACACCGAUUGCGUAGGCAGCUUACUAAACUGAGACUGACGCUGAGGCACGAAAGCGUGGGUAGCAAACAGG